UCUCUCUCUCUCUCUCUCUCUCUCUCUCUUCUCUCUACUAAUGGUGGCGACCUCCUCCUCCUUCAGGCACCGCACCUCCUUCUCACACGGAGGAGUUUCUUCCUCCUCUCUUAUCUUAUUUCCUUCACCAACACCUCUAUCUUGGAGUUUCUUCCUCAUCUCUUCUCUUAUUUCCUUCACCAAGACCUCUAUCUUGGAGCUUCUUCAUCCUCUCUUCUAUUAUUUCCUUCACCAACACCUUUAACUUGUGAUCCUCUUCUCUUCAACUACUUCUCCUCUAGAUCUACCUUCCCUUACCGGAAAACUCGUUGCAAAUCAUGAUGAGUAGAAUUUCUCGUCCAGAUAUUUUGGAGAAGCACGACGACAAAGAGAGACAUGGUCAAGAAAUAAGACAACAAAAUACUAUUAGUAGAAAAUAGAAACUAAAGGUUGAAGUGACGGGACACGUGGUGCGAUACUCCACAGCGAGCCACGUAGAAGGUAGGCGAUGAAGGGAAGGUAUUCAGGUAGGGACAGUGUAUCCGCGGUGGAGCCACGGUGUUAAGAUUUUGAUUGGCCCAUGCGCUAGCUUGUGGGGACUAUCUUCCUUUUUUUGGAAUGUGGAACUUAUUUUAACAUUUGGUUGUCGUACGGACAUGUUAUUUUCGGUUUAGCUGAAUCGGUUUUUCUGUUUCAAACUCUAUUUUAGGGAACGUUUUUUUAAAUCACAUUCUUUAGCGGAUUGGAAUGGAAUUUUUGGUAGCAUUUUUGUUGGUAGAUUCGACAUGCCACACUACUUUAUGAAUAUUAUUAUGUAGCUUUUGGUAGCUAAAGUGUAAGUCUCUAAAUCAUUCACGGGGUAUGUGAUGAUAUAACACAACGCCAAUAUGAUCCACGUGUAAUGAUUGUGGCCACAUAUUCUGCCUUGAAAGCAACUAUUCGACUUUUUAAUU